GGGCGGUGGCGGCAGCUAACACAUGCAGUCGAGCGCGAAAGUUCCUUCGGGAACGAGUAGAGCGGCGGACGGGUGAGUAAUGCAUAGGAAUCUGCCCAGUAGUGGGGGAUAGCCCGGGGAAACCCGGAUUAAUACCGCAUACGCCCUACGGGGGAAAGCAGGGGAUCUUCGGACCUUGCGCUAUUGGAUGAGCCUAUGUCGGAUUAGCUUGUUGGUGGGGUAACGGCCCACCAAGGCGACGAUCCGUAGCUGGUCUGAGAGGAUGAUCAGCCACACUGGGACUGAGACACGGCCCAGACUCCUACGGGAGGCAGCAGUGGGGAAUAUUGGACAAUGGGGGCAACCCUGAUCCAGCCAUGCCGCGUGUGUGAAGAAGGCCUUCGGGUUGUAAAGCACUUUCAGCAGGGAGGAAGGCCUGGCGGUUAAUACCCGUCAGGAUUGACGUUACCUGCAGAAGAAGCACCGGCUAACUCCGUGCCAGCAGCCGCGGUAAU
rnacentral:rRNA from 1 species